AUCUGCUUCUCUUGUGCGUAACUGUCAGAGUGAAAAACCGCAGGCGCAGCGAGCUGCUUUCUGUUGUCCAUAAGUCGGAAACUUUUUUAAUGUUGCCUUUUUAGAGUCAAUUUUUAGUCUUGAAGUUUUUGUUCGAUGACAGGACGAUACGUCGCACCAAAUAAAGAUCAUGGACAAGCUGGAGUCAGCGCAGCACAACCUCUGUAUGUGGCUUUCAAGUGACCCAGAUUACAUCCUUGACAAGUGUGGGGAUAUUUUAUCUAUGAAUGAGUUCCGUGAGGUACAAAGGCAAAGCAGUGCAUUAGAUAAGAUGAAAGUACUUUUGAAAAUAAUAAUGCAAAAGGGAGGAGAUACCCCUCAGCACUUCUUGGACAUUGUCAAGCAACAUCAGUCACAUUACAAGCAUGUGUCGCAGCUCUUUAACCCUAACACUGAAGGCUCACCCACACCAACAGUGUUUGCUGAUGGAAGCAGUGUUGUUACCGCCAGAACCAUGAAAAACAUUAAAGCAAAAAACAUCAACAUGAAGGUUGAAACAGUGAGCAAUGCAGGAAGCCGUCCAACUGGAACUACUGUUGGACAGGUUCCUGGAGCAGAUUAUACAGCCUGUGAUAGCAGUAUCAUUUGCGGUGACACAAUGACUGAUAUCGAGGUUGACGGUGAAUUAAAUUUAUCAGCCUCUGCGAAACCAUCACAAGGACAGUAGAUGAGACACUGCCGUCCUCUCAGGAGGCAAAGGAGCCAACAUACCCAGUUCAACUUUUUGGCCUACUGACUUGGCAUAAGAAUGUACUUCAUAGAUGUGUUGCAUCCGCUGUUUGGUGUGUGUAGGAGGUGCAUGUGUAGGUCUGGCGCCAUCCAUAGCACCAAUAGGAGGAGAUCAAUUGACUGACAGACAGACUGAUUGUUUCUAAACAAACUUAUGCAUUACUUGUACAGCUGAUCUAUAACACACGUGCACACACACACACACACUCAACAACAACAACAACAACACAUAAAAGAGACAUGAGAUAUGUAUGAAUGACUAUAUACUGUAUAUCAUUCUAUUUGGUUUACUAAUUUAAGUACCUAUUUCACUGUACUGAUUAAUAAUGUUUUUCAUGUGAUCAGUUUCAUUCACUGUCCUUUAAUUGUAAGUGUGUUUUGGCAACACAUCUCAAAUGCCAUAUCGAUAAAGCCCAUUGAGUUGAACUGAACUGACAUGUCAGUUGGUCCAUUUUCUCAACCUGCUUGUUUUAAUGGCUGUGACUAGAAUUUUUGACUUUCUCAUAGAAAGAGAGAUAGAUAGAGUAAUGCAAGCCAUGAACAGCGGUUUGCAUGCGCUUCCAACUGCUGAUUUUGUAAGUGCUCUGUUUAAUCCAUUUAUACCAAAAGGCUUUGAUUUAUUGGAAGAAACCAAAUAUUUCUAUGUAAAAUUAGAUAUUCAGCACCCCCAUAUAGCCUGAAUGGAAAGAUCCUUUGUUUCAUAACCACAUUUUCCCAAUACUACAACAGUUUAACUGUGAGAUCAGCAGUGCAAUCGGGCAUCAGGUUGAAUUGUCGAAUAACUGACUAUUCAGGGUCACCUCUAAAAGUUGGAUAACUUUAAAACCAUGUCAGUGGGCAGUAGCAUAAAUGAUCUGUGAAGCAGUAAUCACAGUAAUACAUAGGAAAUAAGUUAAAUGUAGGAAUGAGUGAUCCACCUCUCAUAUCCUUUUGUCUCUCUGCUUUCAACAUGACUUUGUUGCUGUUCAUUUCUUUCCAUCCUCGACUUUUUUUCUCUCAGACCCUCCGUAUUCACUUUGGGGAUUAAUAAAAUUAACAAAAAUUCACCACCGUGUACAGUUAUGGAGGUUAAAAUUAGCUCUAGAGACCAAAACUGUUUUUUGUACCAGGCUGUAAACAUGUUCAUUUCUGCUGUAAAGUUGGACAUUUUAACAAGGGGGCCUAUGGGGAUUUACUCUGUUUUUGAGCCAGCCCCAAGUGGCCAUUCAAAGAACUGCAGUGUUCGUCACUUUUGCAUUGGCUCCAUUUUUGAAAUGCCAACUCAUUUUCACUCCCAACUUGUCACAUAUCCCUGCUUGUUCAAUUAACUUUUCAUGUCUACAUAUGACGUGUUAGGUAUCCUGGGUGUAUAAUGUUUUUCACGUUCUGGGACGCCAUGUUAAUUUAUGCUUGUUACAUGCAUUGUGUCUUUUCAAAAUACACUUCUGUUUUCACAGGAAAUGUACAGUUUCUGCUCCUUCGAUGCACACAGUCUUUUUCAAAAUAAACGUACAACAUUGG